rnacentral:sRNA from 1 species
GCAGAAUCUUGGACCCCAUGCAGAUGUCCUGAUCAGAAAACGCACUGUAACAAGAUCCCAGGUGAUGUCAUUGUCUAUAUUAAUGAAGUUUGUGUCCUUG